UUUAUUAGGUAGGAUACUUUGGAACAGUUCUCGGCUUUUUAACGGUUGAGAACCUAAGUAAGGUUUUAAUGCCAUACGAGUAAAGC
rnacentral:tRNA from 1 species